rnacentral:rRNA from 1 species
GACAGAGGGUGCAAACGUUGCUCGGAAUUACUGGGCGUAAAGCGCGUGUAGGCGGACUGGUAAGUCGGACGUGAAAUCCCUGGGCUCAACCCAGGAACUGCAUCCGAAACUAUCAGUCUGGAGUGGUGGAGAGGGAAGCAGAAUUCCUGGUGUAGAGGUGAAAUUCGUAGAUAUCAGGAGGAACACCGGUGGCGAAGGCGGCUUCCUGGACACUAACUGACGCUGAGACGCGAAAGCGAGGGGAGCAAACAGG